rnacentral:lncRNA from 1 species
UCUCUCUCUCCCUCUCUCUCUCUAACUUCCCUUUUCAAAUAAAAACUCCUAUUAUUGUUAUCAUUUUUUUAUUAUUAUUAUUAUUAAACUUUAUUUCCAACUCCCUUCUCCCACUAACUUUUUUUAAAUUUUCUAAACUUCUACUUAAUUUCAAUAUUUUUCUCAAUAAUAAUGACAAUAAUAAUAACAAUAAUAAUAACACUAAAAUUAAAAAAAUCAUUCAAACAGAUAAAAUAUGAAAUUAUUAAAAGAAUAAAAUUCAAAUAUAAUUCAGGGUGUUACAA